rnacentral:tRNA from 1 species
GUGGCUCAAAGGAGUAAGAGCACUGGCCACAUAUGCCAGAGGUGGCUGGUUCAAACCCAGCC